rnacentral:misc_RNA from 1 species
UUAAGUUCAGCGGGUAGUCCUACCUGAUUUGAGGCCAGAUGUAUAAAAAACGUCUCUCAGAGAGAGAACAGGGUUAGAAAGCAGACGGUAGUCAAGUGGAUGGCCAUCGGUUAAGAUGUCCUCAGCGAAAUACUUAUUACGCCAAGUCAAACCAGUCCUCAAGACAAGUCCAGCUAAUCAAUUUAAGGUGAGCCAUCAAU